CACUUCACCCAUCAUCAGUGAUUCCGGUUACUAGAAGUGAGCCCGUAACUCUUCAAUAAGUCUUCGUUGUAUCCGAAUAUUUGCAGCACUUUAUCUUCCUGAAAGACAAAGAAAAAUGAGGUUGUUUGUUGCAUUGAUAUUGACUGGUAUAGUUGCCAUUAUUCAAGAUUGCCUUGGACAAAAGUAAGUAGAUUUA